rnacentral:rRNA from 1 species
GAAAUAACCUAAAGGAACUUGUUUAUUAAUCGACAAUACUCGAUAAUUUUCACCUUAAACUAUAGCCUAUAUACCGCCGUUUAAAUAAGCUAUAAACACCUAUAUUUAAAAAUACUUUAAAAAUUCAGGUCAAGGUGUAGCCAAUUUUAAGGUUAAAAUUAGUUACUAUAAAUAUUAUUUAUAGAAAAUGUAUAAAUUAAUAUAAAAUAGGAUUUAAUUUCAAUAUAUUAACAAUAAUUAUAUAUGAAUUAUUAACAUC